rnacentral:rRNA from 1 species
UUGCCAGCCCGCUCAGAAACUCAAAGGAAUUGACGGGGCCCGCACAAGCGGUGGAGCAUGUGGUUUAAUUCGAUGAUACGCGAGGAACCUUACCUGGGCUCAAAUGUAUGUUGACGUAUUCUGAAAGGGAUACUUCUUCGGACAAUAUACAAGGUGCUGCAUGGUUGUCGUCAGCUCGUGCCGUGAGGUGUCGGGUUAAGUCCCAUAACGAGCGCAACCCCUAUCAUUAGUUGCCAUCAGGUCAAGCUGGGGACUCUAAUGAAACUGCCUACGCAAGUAGUGAGGAAGGUGGGGAUGACGUCAAAUCAGCACGGCCCUUACGUCCAGGGCUACACACGUGCUACAAUGGCCGGUACAAAGGGCAGCUACCUGGUGACAGGAUGCUAAUCUCAAAAGUCGGUCUCAGUUCGGAUCGGAGUCUGCAACCCGACUCCGUGAAGUUGGAUUCGCUAGUAAUCGCGCAUCAGCCAUGGCGCGGUGAAUACGUUCCCGGGCCUU